AUGUAUUAUGAGCAUCAUCACCUUCCUUGUUUGCAUUGCCAACCACAAGAAUAUAUUAGAAUGGUUCAACAUUUGAUAGAGAGGUGUUUGCUCUUUCACAUGAAUAGAGAUGAUUGUGUGAAGGCACUUGCAAAACAUGCUAGUGUUCAUCCUACAGUCACUUCUACAGGUUCAUUCUCUUCUUCUUUCUUCUUCUUCUCCUUCUUCUUUUGACAAUUUUUUUUUAGCAGUGUGGAAAGAAUUAGUCAGAGAGAAUAAGAGUUUCUUCCAAGGAUACUUUCAUGCUAUUUCACCCAAACACCAUACCAGCAGGCUUGCUAGGAGAGAACUUAACUAUAGAAGAAGAAAGCAUUGGAAGACUUUUAGAAACACUUGAAAGCAAUAGAUCAGCUUGUUAAAUCAAUUUACCAAUCUACUAAUAAAUAUGGGCAAGAAAUGCUUAUGCUGCCAUUUGAUCUUUGUUACAAAUAAAGAACAAGGCUUCCUACCGAUAAGACGUAAUGUAAUAUAGUUAAAUGUAUUUCUAAUGUAAUAUUUAUAUUGUAUUAUAUUACAUUAAAGCUGACUAAACCAAGCGUAAGUUCAAAUGUCAAAUGCUAAUUUUUAUUGAACAUACAGCUUCUAUAGAAAGAAAAGUUGAAUCCGACUCCC